UGACCUCAUACCUUCUUGGAGCCCAGAAUCCAAUUCAGAAGUUUUACAAAACCUGGAAGUGAAGUUGUCCCAUUUACCUAGUGAACAUUCUCAAAGGCUACAGACUCUUAUUAAUAAUGUUUCUUUUUGUGACUUUCCCAGGAAAAGUACUGUACUUCUGCAUGAUAUUGAACUUGUCCCAGGUACGAUGCCCAUUCGUCAACCUCCAUAUCGUCUGAGUCCUGAUCGAAAAGCACAGAUGAAGAGGGAAGUGGAAUAUUUACUCAAACAUGGCCUAGCAGUUCCAAGUAAAUCUCCAUGGGCUUCACCUUGUCUUCUAGUACCAAAGGAGGAUGGUAACUUAAGGUUUUGCACGGAUUACCGCAAGCUGAAUAUGAUGCGUGUGAUACAGGGGCUGGUGGAGUGUUGCUGCAAAAAUCAGCGGGAGAUGGUCUUCUGCAUCCAGUGUGCUACACGUCUACCAAGUUCCUGUCCCAUCAAAUGUCUUAUAGCACUAUUGAAAAGGAGGCACUGAGUUUAGUGCUCGCACUGCAGAAGUUUGAGUGCUAUCUCCAGGGAGCUUCUGAGAUAGUAACCUACACUGAUCACAAUCCGUUGACU